ACAAAGGUCACAAUCAACAUUCAUUGCUGUCGGUGGGUUUGGCUAUGAAGAAAAGCUCACUGAACGAUGAAUGCAACUGUGUCCUCG
rnacentral:pre_miRNA from 10 species